AUGAAAAGAAGGGGGUGGAAAGGGAAUCCUAAAUGCUCAUUCUGUGGGGAGCGCGAAACAUCCCAACACCUCUUUUUUACCUGCCCUGUAGCUAAGGUGACUUGGAGAAAUAUUGCAUGCAUGCUUGGCACUGACUUGUGUCCAAACAAUUUGUGACAAGCUUACUCCUGGUGUUAUGUCUAUUUUCCAAAUGGGGAGGUUUUUUACACAGUUGGCAUAGCCGCACUUUGUUGGGCUAUUUGGACCUGCCGCAAUAGUGCUACAUUUGAAUUUAAGCAUUUGAAAACUCCCUUUGAGUGAUGUUUCUCUAUGUGCGCUUUCUGUGUUACUGGGCAGGUUUGCUGA
rnacentral:rRNA from 1 species